GUGCUUAUUUCACUGUCUAACCCUGCCCAGGCCCCGGGGAGAAGCCUGGUAUUCUUCGUGUUUAUUUAAUUGUCAACUCUCUGUGUUCUAAGACGAUACCCUGGCCUUGACUCAGUACAACCUAGGACUGUAAGUCCCAUCAUGUCUAUGGACUUCAGUUUCCAGACAUGAAACACAAGAGGCUUGGACGAGAUUAGAAAUCAAGAACUCGAAUGCGUAUGGUCAGAGCCACGAGAGUUUCCAUAAAGGAACACAACCAUGUGGACAACUUGAUUAUGCCCUACAAAACUGAAUUCCUGUGAGCAUUCCUCUUCAAGAUGGAAGAAAAAGGGAAUAUUUCACAACCCCAAUGGUGAAACGUCUGCCUAUAGCCAACAAUACAAUCUCCAUCCAUGUAUGAUGUGACUUGCUCCUACAUGCCUUCCACCAUGAUUAUGAGGCCUCCUGAGCCAUGUGGAACUGCUAUCCAGCUCAAUGAGAAGUCUGGAAGACCCAGCUACAGAGAAAAUGAACUUAGAAGAAGAUACUGGCAUUUAGUAGUUCCCAGCAUAAAAACCACCUGACUGCCUCAAUGCCAACAUAGACAGACCACCUGGAAAUAAGCCCCAUCUGCCUGGAGAUAAGCCCCACCAAUGUACACAGAGCUCCUGGAGGCCGUUAGUGCUUAAUCAGAGCUACCAGGCAUUUGAGAAAAUAAUAACAGCAAUGAUGAAAGAGCUAUAAUCACAGAGAAGAAAGAACUGAGCAAUAAACAGAGUCAAUGUAGAAUUCAGAACAAUAUUUUGAAAGGAAAAUAUUAAUAUUAAUGAUAACCAUAAUAGUGUCAGAUUGCAUUUUGGCAACAACAUUUCCUUUCAUGAUUUCUCUUCUAACACAGAAACUAGAAGACUGGGAACCUUAUUUCUCAGAAAUAUUGCCAGCAGCUUCCAUGCCAAUGAGAAGCACUUUCAUGAGCUUGGGAAGCAGAGCUAAAGCUGUCAUGGCUUCUGCAGAAUCAAAAAGCAAGCAUGUGAUUUUAACAGAAAACAGAUGUGCAGUGUUUUGAGUGGCUUUCAAGCAUUCGCUCGUGAAAUUCUUUUUGGUGUGACAGACAUUAAUCACGGUUUGCUGAGAUUCUGCAUCUGCCUGAUAUACUGAAAGUUAGUGGUGGAUCUAAUCUAUGCAUUACGAAUUAAAUAUUUUAAUUCUCUAAAUAAUUUCUGAAGAUUAUGAUUAUACACACACAGCUGCCAAUUCUAGGCUUUCAAGAUCAGUGUAGAGAGACCAUCUCAUGACAAUAAUGCCUAAGAAAGUGAGGGCUCAUCACACUCACUAGAAACAUGAUUCUCCUCCUCUCCUAUUGCCAUUGUGGUGUAUUUCUGAACUUAGGGCAGUCUGGAGGUUUACCAGAACGCACCUUGGGUCUGGCAUUUCUCUUCAACCUUAGAGUUUGACAAAACAGAAUGCAAGGAUUUCAGGCGUGAGUAUAUGCUUCAUAUAUUACCUUCAGAUUCUCCUGCCUACUUCUUCCUACUCUAAGCACAUUACUAAAUUAGAUGCUACUUAGAAAGAACAUAAAGAUCAAAUACCCUAAAUUCUGUUGGAGUCUGUAGGAUUAAGAUCUUAAUGAUUCUAAAGCCUUUUAGAUUAUGUUAUUUUUAAAGCUAUGUAUAUCUCUUUCACCAUUAAAAAAUUUUAAAAAGGUAUAAUUUUAUUCUUAUUUAAAAAAUAAACUUUGAUAUUUCAAAAUUAAGUAUAAGGAUAAGACCUUACACCUUAAUGCCUUUCAUGCUUGGGGUAUGUUGGAAUACAGUUUCAGGUGGGAGAUCAGUACAGUAUUAUUCUUUUGUCCAGAUUUAUCAGUACUGCCUUGCAAUAAAUUUCAACAGUCCCUUGAUAAGUGAUUUGUGUGUGCCUCUGAUUACCCUGUUAAGUUCUCUUUUUCAUCACAGGAAAACAAGAACAAAAGAGGAGAUAGAUUUGAAGGAGAUACUCAUCUAAAUCUGAUCCCUUUGAGGAAUGUAAAAAAUUAAACCUUUCCCAUCUUCCUCCUUACAUCUAAACUUUUGGUGGGACCCCAGUCGAUUUGCUAAAGGAUAACACCUGCUACAAAGAUCACUGAAUACAUUUUUGGGCUCCUAAAUAACACAUAACGUAUUUGUGGGUGUGUGUGUAUGUGUACGUGUGUAUAUACAUAUAUAUAUUUAAGUACUUUUUCUACCCCUGAGACCAGAUUUUCAAUUUAAUGCCUCUACAACUAGGGAAUAGUGGUGGGAAGUCAAAAUGUUUUCCUUGGUUCCUCAAGCAACAAUUUGAAUAGACUUUAACUGACUCUGUGGGAAUUUUUCCAUCACUCAGAAAGACCAUAAAGGUAUCAUCUGAGUUGUUUGCUUAGCUCUUCAUCUUCAGUCUUAGCUUGGGGAUAAUGAAACCUGAUAUUAAUGUGCUGAAAUUAUUUCUCUCUAUGAAGGCUUACCCAAUAAACCACAGUUAAUGACCUUAAAGAGUUCUUCAGGAAUUUCACAUUGAGCCAGCUCUGCCCUCAAAUUUUCCAGUGAUUCCUUUCAGAUAUUUAAAAUAGAUUUUUUUUCUUCUCCCUUCUUAAGUAAAUAUUUUUUAAGAAGCAGUGAACUUUGCUGCUGUAAUUCAAAGAUAAAGAUUAUGUCUUUCAAGCUUGUUUUAAUAUUUAUGUUGGCUUAUGACUAAAUAUUAGCUUGUUUUAGUUAUCUAUUAUAAGGUAAAAUAGAACACUUGAAACAAUUUUCCCAUAGUUUUCAUUUAUCCUUAUGGUAAUACCAAACUGUUGAAUAGUAAUUUCAGCUUAUCCUAGAUUAACAUAUCUUUUAUACUUCUGUUAAAUGAUUUCUUUCAAUAAGCACCGUUUUACUUUCUUGUUCUGAAAAGCAAAUAUUAAGCAGCGUGACAUUUGACGAAGCUCCCAUGCCAGACAGGGGACCACAGCAAGUCAUCUGAUUCAUUCUCUAAUUUUCAGGCAGGAACAUACUUCUGAUUAUAUUAUCAAAGGCAGCCAGCUGUAGUUUGAGAUAGCCUAUUAGUGAAAGAAAUUGAUAUAACCAAUCAAUAAACAAACAGGUAAAAGUCUUCUCAUUUCAUUUGAUGAGAUUCUGGCAAAGGACAGGAAUGUUACCCUACUAGCAUUGAAAACAGUAAGGCAGAAAAUCACUUGCGGAGAAAUCAGUGAGGCAAAAUUAAACCUUGGCCAAAUUGCCUCCCUCCUCUAGUAGACUUUUCAUUCUUAAACUGCUUUUCCUGGAAUGCCUAUAUUCUGCAUCAGUUAGAUGCAAUUAUUGCUGUAUUAUUUUGACAUUCCCAGAUAAGUUUAUCUUCAGAUGCUGAAUGACCAGUCUAGAGACUAAAGGAAUCUGAAACAGUGCUGAACUUUAAUAAAGUUUUGUCAAACAGUGCCUUUAGUAAUUACAGCAAAACCUGGUGUUCUCUUGCUAUCUCAGAAUCCUUUAAAGGCAUCUAUACCUAAGGCCUGAUACGGAAAGACAGUUGCCCAACUCUUUAUAGAGUUAUCAAAAACAAUUUUUCUCAGUAUUUUCAUUUUCAGAGACAAUCUUGAGCAAAGCAAAAUUGUUAGAAAGAUACCUUGUUUUAAAUUGUUACAGGAAAGCAAUGGAUCUUAAGUGAAAUAAAUAUUGAUAGAUAUGGCAAAGAAGAGGGCAGAUGUGAUACUCUGGUUGGAUAUGACUGUAGUUAGGAUGCUGGAUAAAACUAAGGUAUGAUCUGAGCUGUAGUAAGCAGAAACUGAUAAAGCUUCUGUAGCAGAAAAGAUUGUGGUUACUGUUCUAGAUUCAAGCUUUGGGUCUGACAUGGCAAGUGUUCUGAUAUUCAUAAAUUCAUGAGCAAAUUUUGAUCAUUGCUUACAUGUUGACCAUUUAUAAGCAUUUAGGCUACAAAAAGCAACAUAUUAGCCACCACAAAUAAUAUAAACAUAAAGAAGUGAAUUAGGGUAGAAAAUGUUGAGAAUUAAUUUUGUGGGAUUGGAAGACAGUGCAUAAAAUUUUAGCGUUAACAAUCUAUGUAGGAGGCAAGUUGAUCCAGGGUACUUGUUGACCUCUAACUGCCUCAUUGCUCCUUGUAGACACACAGGUCUCUUUUGGAUGUUGAACUCUGCUCUAUUGUCAAAAUUCACCCAUAUCUACUGUGCCUGAGCAGCACUUCCAGAUGAGCUUUUCCUCCCUCUUUCAAGUCUUAUACAUUUGGCUUGGUGACAGUGAGCAAGUGUGAUAAAGAAAUAUCUGCUAAACUCACUAGGUCGCAGUAAGCACUGGAGGCACCUGAUAAACACAGCUUCCUAGAGUAAAUUUCUGAAUACUCUGAGUAUAUAAAGUGACUUCUAUGCUCAGACAAAUUUUGGAAAUUUCAUGAUGAAUUAAAAUAUUAGGGUUAUCCCAUUCUAGUAAAUAUAUUAAUUUCAAUAAAAUCUUAUUUCAAAUAAUAUUGUAUUCCCCCCAAAGUGACAAGCAGUAGAGAUUUUCUGAAGGAUUCAGUGUUCACUCAUUCAACAAUAGUUAUUGACAGUCUAUCAAGUCUUUAGUCAUUGGAAAUGAAUCUGUGGAUCAACCACAGUCUCAGGCCUCAGGGGGCUUCUGAGAUACAUUACUGGGUAUAUGUGGCUUUAUUAUUAUUUGUAACCUAAGUAAGAAAUAACCCAGUUGAUACAGGCUUACUUCAUAUUUACUCUAUGCAGGGCUACAAUGGUCACCAUAAGGAUGUCUGACCACGUAAUUAAUGAUGAAUGAGACUACUGAAGGUUAGAUAGGAGCAGAAUUAAUCUAUCUAAAACAGGCACAUUGGAAGAUGCAGGGUUCUGUGGACAUAUCUAGGAACUGUAGGCACCACUGAAGCUUGGUUAACAGUUCAGAAUAAGUAGAAUGCAAAUAUAAUAAAAGAUGGAAGUCAAGAUUAAUAAGUAUUAUAUUUUGUAAUUUUUAGAUUUUUCUCGCACUUACAUUUCUGGGUAAAACUUGUUUUGCUUAUCUAAAUGUGUUGCUUAUUGAGCUCGUUAUAUACUUAACAGUCAUUUGUUAAUUACGGGUAAUUUUUCCUUUUCAUUGGGUGUAUUAUUGUUCCAAUUGUAACUUUUGCAUAUCUACAGAGUCAGAUCUUUAUUCACCCUCUACUCCAAUAUUAUUUAAAUCAUAAAUGGUUGCCAGCUUCUACAUACUUUUUCAGAGAAAAAAGUUCUGGGUCUCUCUUAAAAGACCCAGGAGGACUGCGUAGAUGUGCAUAAGCUAGACAUAGAUUAUGUCGUUGUUUCUGUUAUUUAUUUUCUUGUAGCAGUUCGAUGCAGGUUAAAGAUUUCCUUCUCUAAGAUUGUUAAACAUUAUCUAAACAUUGAGGAACAGACUUAAAAAAAAAACAUUAUGCAUGAGUACCGGAAAACUAUACGUAUGCUGUUAAGUAGAAAGCAAAUUAAGAUGCAUCUAAUUAGGAUCAAGGAUGAGGAGUUAUGACCCUAUUCCAGGCUGAAGUUCUCAGAAGAGGUACAUGUGGUGGGAUUAGGCUUAGUAAAGAAUCUUUAGUGACUUUUCUAUUUUCUUAGAAAGUUGAUACUGAGGUGCUAAGUAGCAACAUGGUUCCUGGUAUCCUAUGUAGCUUAUUCGCAUACGUGCACCUCAGCCUCAUGCAUCCACAAUGAUGAAGAUGACUAUGAAUAUCUACCUUGUCUUUAAGAAGGUAGAGUUAUCCUUAAUGGUUUGGUGUUCUAUACUAAAGCUGGAGAGAUGUCUGGAGAGUUUCUAAUUUUGAUUUUAAUAGCUUUUCAUUCUUUUGUUUUAAUUCAUUGAAGGCCUUAAAUUAGUCCAGGAGGAUUGGUAUAAAAAUCCCAUUUUUUUUGCUGUUCAGAGUUCAAAAGCCUCAACUUGUGGAGAGAAAUGAAAUGGCUGAGUAGCAGAAGUCAGCAGUGAGCUGCAGCUUGCUCACAUUGCCCUCAAAUCUGCUGCACACAUACCUUCACAGCUCGGCAUUAGUUACCUCACUUUGGUAGCUUGACAUCUGCCAUGUUAGGUGAAUUUAUACCAGAGAAAUAAAAAACAAUUCUGUAAAUCAGGGAAUUUUGGUCAUGCAGAGCCUGCUAUUAAAUGUUUACCAGCAUUGCUGCUGAAAAAAGAGUGUUCCUCAUAUGUGGCACACUACUGGUGGUCAUCAGUCCAUCCUUCUUGCUUGGAUAGGCAUCUCUGCACAGUUGUAACACCAGUGACUUACAAUAGACAAUUUCUCUUUAGCUGGAAGAAAGCAGUCAUAGUGACAGUGGUAGUGGACAAUGCUGAAUGUUGCCAUACAUACUCAAGUCCAAGGUUAGACCUUAUUAAUAGCAGAGAGAAGUGAUUAGAAUAUUAAAGUCCUAAUUCCUGUUUUUAUCAUUCUUUCUGCUCCUUGCGUCCUAACACACCUGUAUAAACAUCAUCAGAUCAACAGAACAUUUAGCUGUAGUGUUUACCCUUCAAACAGUUGAUUUCCUCUUUAAAUUCAUAAUAUUUUAUUUCUUUUGGGGAGAAAUCUCCCAUAAAUUAUUUUACCAUCAUCUAGAUCAGCAUUAUUCAACAGAAUGUUCUGCUACAAUGAAAAUGUUCUGUAUUUAUGUUGAGCAAUAUAGUAGCCAUUAGCCACAUGUGGAUUGUGAACAUUUGAAAUGUGCCUAGUGUGUGAGAGGAAAUGAAUUUUAAUUUAAUUUAAAUUAAAAUAGCUACAUACUGCUAGUAACUAUCAUUUUAUACAACUUAGUCUAAUCCAGGUUUUAUCUUCUUUUCUAAAAAAAUUGUCCUGUAUUCAAUGCUUGAUCAUCUUUAUCCCCCUUUAAAAAUGCUGUUGUUUUUAACAGAUAAUUUUUAAAUUUGGAGUUGUUUUAGUUUACUGUUACAAAUGGAAUACUUCAGUCAGUUUUGAAUUUCAGUCCUAUACAUCUAGAGUCAGAACACACACUUCACAAUGGAAAAUACUGUUUAAUUAGAUCAAAUAAGUUGGAAAUAUAAUGUGUCUUUCCUAUAUAAAGGCUCUCAGAGCAAAGCACUGAAGUUUUUAGAAGUUUCAAAAAGAUAUUUGAAUCUGAUUAUAGAUUUGGUACAUAUGUAAGAGUACAGCCUAUGUUAGCCAAGUCACUAGCUUCUGUUAUUGCAUUUUCUUCAACAAGGAUUAGUCCCAGCAAAUGAUCUCUUCUGAAAUAGAUUUAUAGUCAGCUUACACUGAAAUAUAUAGUAAGAAACAAAUCAAAACCAUCAACAUAAACAAGAAAAUUGAGAUUAAUGAAGUCUUUGCUAAACAUUGUGCUAAAUGAUUUUACAUGUAUAACCUUAUUUAAAAAUUUAAAUAAUCCCCAAUUUUGAUGCAGACAAUAAGGAACAGUGAGUGUAAGUGACUUAAAGUCAAACAAAUAGUUUGGAACAGAGGUAGAGCAGCACUGAAUGUGCAUUCUGUCAAUUGCUAAAUGAUUGCUUGUUAAAGAAAAUAUUGGCUAAUGCUGAAAAAUGAGCAAACAUCUCCACUAUAGUAUAAAUGAUUAAAGGAAAAAUUAUAUCAAAAAUUUAAAUAUUGUUACCGUUUUAUUAUCAAAUUGUGGUGGUCAAGUUUUAAACGGUUAUUGUGUAAAGACAAUAAAUUCUCAGACUAUCAGUUGAUAAUAUACUCCUUGGGUAAUACUUGUAAGAAUAAAACAUAUUGUCUUUCAAAUGAGGUCAAUGGAUGAGCAAGCUAUAUCUUGGAUUCUUUUUUUACUCACUAACACUUUUGUCUUUUCUUCAUAUUCUUUAAAUUCUAUUACAACUAGUUGGAAGAUAAUUUGUCAAGGAUGUUGUUGUACAUGAUUUUGGAGAUUUUCCUUUUUGUAAAAUUGUGAGGAGGCAGAGUUGACGUUUUGCUUUUAAUUUGUCCUCCCAAAAUUUGAAGAAUUCCCAAAUAGAACUUCAUGACUCAUGGCUUAAUGACAUUAGUUGUUAAAGAUUAUUUUGCUUAAUGUCAUGAAUGUUGAUACCAAAUAAUAUUUCUAAAAUUACUAAAAUAUUUGCUUUCUAUUAUUCUGUCAUUUGUUAUCAUUUAAAUAUUUAGUGAUAUUCCACAGAAAGAAUGUUUUUCUAAAGUUAUCUAGCACACUCAUUCAUUCUAAAUAUUUGUAUUAUAUCCAAAGGAUUGCUUUGUUCAUAUUACUGUCAUUGCUAAACAGAUUAUAUAUUUUGGUAAUUUAUGGAAUCAUAAAAGUAUUGACUAAGCACAAGUUCAGGGAUGCCAGAAAUAAGGUUAAAGUAAACAUUAGCAACUAGGACUUUUUCUAAUUGGCAUAUUUGGCCCAACCAAAGCUAAAUCUGAGUCUCUGGGCAUUUCUAGUUGGGAUUUUAAGUGAAAUCCAUAUUUCUUUGAACCAUGUUGUACAUAUUUUCUGUGUUAUCAUUUCAAGUGGGAUACAGACACAACCGCUGCCUUUCUUUUUGUUAAAAUAUUCUAUUUUAAAGCAUGGAUAAAAACCGUAUAUGUGAUGAGAAUGGAAGGUAGAAGCCAUUUAAUAGGUGAAAUUGAUUAAGUUAUGUGGGUAAUUGAAAUAAUAAUGCUUCAUUGAUAAAAACCAUAUAUGCAAUGAGAAUGAAAGGUGAAGCCAUUUAAUAGGUGAAAUUGAUUAAGUUAUGUGGGUAACUGAAAUAAUAAUGAUUUCUCAGCCAAGAGGAAAAAAGAAUGUACUCAGCACUUCUUUUUCACUGUUUGAAUUUCCUAGAAAAUAAAAUGGAGAUUUGAUUUUAGCACAGUGGAGAGAAAUAUACACAAAAUACUGUCAGGCCAGCGAUACUGAUUUGAUGCUUACCCAUUUACUACAUUAUUUUUGUCAUACUUUCUUACACCUCUGAGAUAUUGUAUUCUGCCUGAAGUUCAUCCUUUAAAAUUUCCAUUAAUGAGGGUCUGCUGGUGGUAAACUCUAUAAUGCUUUAUUUUUCUUCCUUUAUUUCACCUUUCUUUUUGAAUAAUUUUUUUUUGCUGAGUAUAGAUUACUAAGUUGACAGUUACUUUUCUAGCACAUUAAAAAUAUCCCACUGUUUUAUUGAUUUUAUCGGUGCUGUUGGUAAACUACCUCUCAUUCUAAUUAUCAUUUCUCUGAAGAUAACCAUUUUUUUUCUUCAGCUGCUUUUAAGGUGUUCUAAUAAAUUUAUAUUUUUCUGCAGUGUUCAAUAGAACAGAUCUAAGUAUGGAUUUAUUUUUGCUUAUACUCUUAGAUUUAUUGCAUUCUUGAGUCUGUAGAUUUAUCAUUCUUAUCAAUUCUGGAAAAUUUGCUAUUAUUAUUUCUUCAUGGAUUGUUUCUCCCAUUUCCUUUCUUCAGUCUCUUUCUGGCACACUUGUGAAACUAAGGUUAGACUAUUGAUUGUAUCCUUUAUGUUUCUUACCCAAAUUCUGUGUUUUUUCAUUCUUUUGUUUCUCUGUGCUACAUUCCAGAUAACAUUUUUCUUUUCUAUCUCCCAGCUUACCAAUUUUCUCUUGAGUCUUAUAUUGAAGUUUUAUAUUGACUGUUGUAUUUUACAUUUCUAGAGUUUUUGUUAAGACUUUUCAAAUAUUCUCUUUUCUUUGGUGUUUCUUAUUCCUUGAAUACAUUUUCAAGCUUGUAUUUUUAAAUAAAGUACAGAUGUUUUAUAUUCUAUGACUAAUAAUUCUGAUAAUUAAUGAUUCAUACUUCGUACGUUCUUUCUUCUGUCAUUUAUUCUGGUUCUUCCUCAUCGUGUCAUGUUUCCUUGUGUGCCUGAUAUAUCCCUGACUGUGUGACCUGCUUAGUAUUUGAAAAUUAUAUUGAGAAAAAUUUGAACUCUAGGAUUGUUUUCUCAUUCUACAGAGAUAAUUUUCAUUUGUUGCUGUAUGGGUGAAUAUAAGUGUAUUGCCACUUCAAGACCACCUUAACCCAAGUUCAAGGCUUGAUGUUUCUUGGGCCACUGAGUAGAUGAAUACUUGGGUCACAUAAGGGCUUAUUUUUGUGUAGUUCAUCCUUUCCAUGGGAAUGUAACUCCUCGAGGUCCCAACUUAAAGUAUGCAGUUCUAUCAGUCAAAAAUUCUUUUAGGAAAAAAUGAGAUUACGCUAGAUAUUUUACAGAGAUAAUUUAAUAUGAGGGAAUCGAUCAAACAGAUAUUGGAAAAGUAAAAAGCAGAAAAAGAACAUAGAGUUAAGAUAGAGUUAAUAACAUUGAAAUGGCUGGGAACAAAGGAUGGAGACAGAGUUCUCAGAGGAGAGGCCCCACAGAACUGGGGCACAGACUUUGGAAGAGACGAUGCUACCUGGAAAGUGCUGGUACCUCUGAAGCGCACAAUGAGAUUGGUUCUCAUUCUGGGACUGCUGGAAAAAAUCUGAUGACUGCAAUCCACAGCUUGUGGUAAAGAGCCACUGCUGGGAUUACAGUAAAUGGAGCAGCAAAUAAACGGGAGUAAGUUUCCUCUCCCCUCCUGCUUUUCAGGCUCUCUUUAGCCUUCUCUAUUGGUGGAGUCAAAUAAGGAUCUGGCCAGUUGAGGAAAAAUGUUGUUUGCAGAUUCCUGGCUGCAGUAUCAAAACGCCGAGUAUAUAAGGGAAGGUUUGGUACAAGGGAUGUUGCCAGCUUUUCCACCCUGCCCAAGCCCAGGAUGUUUCCCUAUUUCUGUGAGGCCGCCAGCAGUGUUGUAGCUGUUUCUUUAGGGUUAGAAAUACCCUUAGGAUAUAUAUGGUUCUGAGUUUUGUGUUUACAUCUCCAGAUUCUUGAUUUUUCCUAGGUUAUCGUCUAGUAAUUUUUGUCGUUAUUUUGUCGAUGCUUUUAAAGCAACUUUAAAAAAAAAUUCACUUAGUUUUAAAUUUUUUUUCUUUAGUGUGUAGUAGGUCUUAUUUAGCAGAUGCACAAGUCUUCAGUUUAUGCCUUACAACUUUAAUUGGAAAAGGAUAUUUGUUUGUCCUUGCCUGUUUUCUAGCUUAUACUACACAGGCAACAUGCUAUAAAAUAAACGUAUAUGUGUUUCAAAAUGGUUCAAUUUGCCCCUUUCUUGAAUAGUCAAUUACAUGCUAAUAAAAAUGUAAAUUUUAACUUAUACUUCUUUCAUUAUAUUCUCCAAUUAGAAGUUAUUUUCAUGACUACAAGAAGCUAAAAAAACUCA
rnacentral:lncRNA from 1 species